rnacentral:rRNA from 1 species
GACGAACGCUGGCGGCGUGCCUAAUACAUGCAAGUCGAACGCAGUGGGGACGGGUGAGUAACACGUGGGUAACCUCCCAUCAGAGGGGAUAACACUUGGAAAUAGGUGCUAAACCGAUACUGAUGGAUGGACCCGCGGUGCAUUAGCUAGUUGGUGAGGUAACGGCUCACCAAGGCCACGAUGGAUAGGCGACGUGGAGGGGUGAUCUGCAACACGGGGGCUGGUGCACGGCCCAGACUCCUACGGUAGGCAGCAGUAGGGAAUCUUGGACAAUGGACGAAAGUCUGACCGAACAACGCCGCGUGAGUGUAGAAGGUGUUCGGAUCGUAAAGCUCUUUUGGUAGAGAAGCGGUGUCUAACCGGAAAGCCACGGCUAACUACGUGCCAGCCGCCGCGGUAAUUC